CACUGCCCGUCGCUACCCGGAACUAAGCAAUAUCGAGAGACAGGAAGAGAUAUAAAUAAUUUUAUAAUUUUUAUGUUAAAUCUUUCCAAUCGCUGUUGAUUGAACCGAACAAAAGUUGUAACAAGGUUUUCGUAGGUGAACCUGCAAAAA
rnacentral:ncRNA from 1 species